rnacentral:rRNA from 1 species
ACGAACGCUGGCGGCGUGCUUCACACCUGCAAGUCGAACGGAAAGGCCCUGCUUUUGUGGGGUGCUCGAGUGGCGAACGGGUGAGUAACACGUGAGUAACCUGCCCUUGACUUUGGGAUAACUUCAGGAAACUGGGGCUAAUACCGGAUAGGAGCUCCUGCUGCAUGGUGGGGGUUGGAAAGUUUCGGCGGUUGGGGAUGGACUCGCGGCUUAUCAGCUUGUUGGUGGGGUAGUGGCUUACCAAGGCUUUGACGGGUAGCCGGCCUGAGAGGGUGACCGGCCACAUUGGGACUGAGAUACGGCCCAGACUCCUACGGGAGGCAGCAGUGGGGAAUAUUGCACAAUGGGCGGAAGCCUGAUGCAGCAACGCCGCGUGCGGGAUGACGGCCUUCGGGUUGUAAACCGCUUUCGCCUGUGACGAAGCGUGAGUGACGGUAACGGGUAAAGAAGCACCGGCUAACUACGUG